rnacentral:lncRNA from 1 species
GUUUUUUUAAAUACAAUUUGUGAUUUUUGUUGUUGGAAAGUAGGCAUUUGAAAAGGCAGCCAUUUCUUUGUCUGCAGAUUGGGUCUGUGCCAGUGAACUCCUUCACUAAUUAGCAGGACAUUUUUUGUGUCUUGGGAUCGGCCUGAGGAGAAAGCAAAAUGUCUUGGUCCAUUUUGUGCUGCUAUUACAGAAUAUUACAGACUGGGUACUUUACAGAGAACAGAAAUGUAUUUCUCACAGUUCUGGAGGCUGGAAAGUCCAAGCAGAAGGUGCCCACAUCUGGUGUGAUAAGGGCUUUCUUGCUGGAUCCUCACAUGGCACAAGGCAGAGGGUACAAAGGGAUGAAAUGUGUGUCCUCACAUGGCAGUAAGCCCUUUAUACAGUGGUAUUAAUCCAUUAAUGAGGGCAGAGCCCUCAUGACCUCCCAUUAGGCCCCACCUCCCAAUACUAUUGUAAUGGGGAUUACAUUUCAACAUAAAUUUUUGGAGAAGAGAAAAACAUUCAAACCAUAGCAUUCUCCCCUAGCUCCCCUAAUCCAUAUCUUUCUCACAUCCAAAAUAUCUUCAUUCCAUCCUAAUAACCCCAAGAAGUCUUAAUUUGUUUCAGCAUCACCCUUAAAAGUCUAAGCUUCAAAGUCUUAUCUAAAUCAUGCUGGGUGAGGUGGCUCACGCCUGUAACUUUGGGAGCACUUUGGGAGGCUGAGGCAGGGGGAUCAUUUGAGGUCAGGAGUUCGAGAAAACCUGGCCAACAUGGAGAAACCCCAUCUCUACUAAAAAUACAAAAAUUAGCCAGGUGUGGUGGUGCAUGCCUUUAGUCCCAGCUACUUGGGAGGCUAAGGGAAGGGAACUGCUUGAACCCAGGAGGUGGAGGUUGCAGUAGUGAGCUGAGAUCACACCACUGUACUCCAGCCUGGGCAACAGAGCAAGACUCCACCUUAAAAAAACAAAGCAAAAGCCUUGUCUGGGAAAUCUGCUGGUCCCCUUAUUAAUUUUCUUUCUUUUUAGAUGGAGUCUCACUCUGUCACCCAGGCUGGAGUGUAGUGGUGUGAUCUCAGCUCACUUCAACCUCCAUCUCCCAGGUUCAAGCCAUUCUCAUGCCUCAGCCUCCUGAGUAGUUGGGACUACAGGCUGCACCACUGCAUCUGGCUAGUUUUGGUAUUUUUGUAGAGACAGGGUUUCACCAUGCUGACCAGGCUGGUCUCAAACUCCUGACCUCAGGUAAGCCACCUGUCUCAGUCUCCAAGUGCUGGAAUUACAGGCAAGAGCCACCACACCUGGCCCCAGACAAGGCUUUUAUUUCGGGGCUUGUGCCCCAGUACAAGGACGCUCCAGCUGACUCUCUGAAAAAAGCCAGUAGGAGUGCUUUUUUUUAAUUAGACAAAGUGUGGGAAUUGACAUCAGGGGUAAGGUUUGCAGGCUGAGCUGGUAGCACAUGAUGGGCAAGGCAUGCAAGUCGGCAUAUCUGGUUGCAAUGGUUAUCUUGGGUAAUGGACAAUUUAGUGGUCUGGCCGGUGACAAAAGGGCUGUAAAUCAAUUACUCAGCAUUUCUUCCUGAGUGAGGUAGUGGUGUGGGGUUUUUUGUUGUUGUUUUUUAAUUUUUGUGGGUACAUAGUAGGUGUAUUAUUUAUGGAUUACAUGAGAUGUUUUGAUAGUCAUGCAAUGUGUAAUAAUCACAUCAUAGAAAAUGGGGUAUCCAUCCCUUCAAGCACUUACCCUUUGUGUUAUAAGCAAUCUAGGAUGGGUGCAGUGGCUCAUACCUGUAAUCCCAGCACUUUGGGAGGCCGAGGCAGGUGAAUCACCUUAGGUCAGGAGUUCAAGAUCAGCCUGGCCAACAUGGUGAAACCCCCAUCUCUACUUAAAAAAAAAAAAAAAAAAAUUAGCCAGGUACGGUGGCGCUUGCCUAUAAUCCCAGCUACUCUGGAGCUGAGGAGGGAGAGUUGCUUAGAACCCAGGGGCAGAGGUUGCAGUGAGCCGAGAUCGUGCCACUAUAGUCCAGCCUGGGCAACAGAGUGAGACUUGGUCUCAAAAACAAAAACAAACAAACAAACAAACAAAAUCUAUACUUUUAGUUAUUCUUAUUUUUAAAUUUUAAUUAUUUUGAGACACAGUUUCGCUUUGUCACUAGGGCUGGAGUGUAGUUGCGUAAUCUCAACUCACUGCAACCUCUGCCACCUGGGUUCAAGUGACUCUCCUGCCUCAGCCUUCUGAGUAGCUGGGAUUACAGGCGCACACCACCACACCUGGAUAAUUUUUGUAUUUUUAGUAAAGGUGGGGUUUCACCAUGUUCGCCUGGCUGGUCUCAAACUCCUGACCUCAGGUGAUCCAAAAGCGCUGGGAUUACAGGCAUGAGCGACCAUGCCUGGCCAUUAUUUUUUUAAUUUUUAAUUUUUGUGGGUAGAUAGUAGGUGUAUAUAUUUAUGGGAUACUUUGAUACAGGUAUGCAAUGCAUAAUAAUCACAGGGUAAAGGGGGUAUCCAUCCCCUCAAGCAUUUAUUCUUUGUGUUACAAACAAUGCAAUUAUGCUCUUUAUUUUUAAAUUGAGGCUGGACACGGUAGCUCACCCAUGUAAUUCCAGCACUUUGGGUGGCUAAGGCAAGCGUAUUGCUUGUGCUCAGGAGUUUGAGACCAGCUUGGGCAAUGAGAUAAAACCCCGUCUCUACAAAAAAAUACAAAAAAAUUAGCCUGGUGUGGUGGCACACACCUGUGGUCCCAGCUACUCGGGAGGCUGAGGUGGGAGGAUUGCUUGAGCCCAGGUUGCUUGAGCCCAUGAGCUGAGACUGCACCACUGCACUCCAACCUGGGUGACAGAAUGAGACCUUGUCUCAAAAAAAAAAAAAAAAAAGUACAAUAAAUCUUUGAUUGUAGUCACCCUGUUGUGCUAUCAAAUACUAGAUCUUAUUCCUUCUAUCUAAUUAUAUUGUUGUAUCCAUUAGCCAUCCCCCCCAACCCCCACUACCCUUCCUAGCCUCUGAUAACCAUUCUUCAAAUCUCUACCUCCAUUAAUUAAGUUGUUUUAAUUUUUUUUUAUUUUUUUUUUGAGACAGAGUCUCACUCUGUUACCCAGGCUGGAGUACAGUGGCACGAUCUCAGCUCACUGAAACCUCCGCCUCCCGGGUUCAAGCAAUUCUCCUGCCUCAACCUCCCAAGUAGCUGGGAUACAGUUGCCUGCCACCACACCCAGCUACUUUUUGCAUUUUUAGUAGAAAUGGGGUUUCACCAUGUUGGCCAGGCUGGUCUUGAAUUCCUGACCUCAUGAUCCACCCUCCUUGGCCUCCCAAAGUGCUGGGAUUACAGGCGUGAGCCACUGAGCCUGGCCAAUUUUUAUUUCUGAAACAUUUAUUAUUAAUGUGAUGGGAAAAUUACACAGAAUAUAUGUUCAUUUCUUAUAAAGUUAAGUCUUCCAGAACCUGGUUUAACAAAAAACUGAGGUUAAAUUCAGGUCUCAAAUAUAGAAACUUAAACUUUUCUUGAAAUCCAAUUAAAAAUGUAGAUCUAGGCUGGGCGAGGUGGCUCACGCCUGUAAUCCCAGCACUUUGGGAGGCUGAGGUGGGCAAGGUCAGGAGAUUGAGACCAUCCUGGCUAACACGGUGAAACCCUGUCUCUACUAAAAAAUACAAAAAAUUAGCCCAGCUACUCGGGAGGCAGAGGAAGGCGAAUGGCAUGAACCCAGGAGGCGGAGCUUGCAGUGAGCCUAGAUGGCGCCACUGCACUCCAGCCUGGGUGACAGAGCGAGACUCCGUCUCAAAAAAAAAAAAAAAAAAAAAAAGUAGAUCUAAAUAGAGUCAGUCUUUUAAGAAAAAAAUCACACAUUUUAGCCUCAGUCAGAUUUCACUUUAUUUGUAUCGAUGACAAUAUUAACUCUUCAGAUUUAUAAAAUGACAAAACUUGAUAAUUACCUGGAAACAA